UUCUACGGAAUAACGCAGGGAAACUUGUGCUAAUACCGUAUAAGCCCUUCGGGGGAAAGAUUUAUCGGGAAAGGAUGAGCCCGCGUUGGAUUAGCUAGUUGGUGGGGUAAAGGCCUACCAAGGCGACGAUCCAUAGCUGGUCUGAGAGGAUGAUCAGCCACAUUGGGACUGAGACACGGCCCAAACUCCUACGGGAGGCAGCAGUGGGGAAUAUUGGACAAUGGGCGCAAGCCUGAUCCAGCCAUG
rnacentral:rRNA from 1 species